AAAGGAAUAGACGGGGACCCGCACAAGCGGUGGAUUAUGUGGUUUAAUUCGAUGCAACGCGAAGAACCUUACCAAGUCUUGACAUCCCUGGCAAAACUCUAGAGAUAGAGCGGAGGUUAUCCGGGUGACAGGUGGUGCAUGGUUGUCGUCAGCUCGUGUCGUGAGAUGUUGGGUUAAGUCCCGCAACGAGCGCAACCCUUGUCUUCAGUUACCAGCAUUCAGUUGGGGACUCUGGAGAGACUGCCGGUGACAAACCGGAGGAAGGUGGGGAUGACGUCAAAUCAGCAUGCCCCUUAUGACUUGGGCUACACACGUAAUACAAUGGCGCACACAAAGGGAAGCAAUACCGCGAGGUGGAGCAAAUCUCAUAAAUUGCGUCUCAGUUCGGAUUAGAGUCUGCAACUCGACUCUAUGAAGUUGGAAUCGCUAGUAAUCGUGGAUCAGCACGCCACGGUGAAUACGUUCUCGGGUCUUGUACACACCGCCCGU
rnacentral:rRNA from 1 species